UUUUUAUUCUCAAUGUUUUUUUUAAUGCUUGAAUUAGAAUCAUUAGGUGCUUUGAAAGCGUUUGGCACCUUUUUUUCUUAUUUCGAGCAUGUGCUAAUUAUUUUCUUAAUCAUGUGUAUUAGUGUGUCAAUUUCACGGACUCUCAGGCUUGAAAUCAAGUACGUAAAAUACGUUUCUGUGUUGGCUACCUAAAGUACUCAUUCGGUACAUUUAUUUUUAAAUCUGUAUCUCAUUGGAUAGGACGGUAAGUGCAAGCAACGUAAAGAUCAUGGUAUAUUGUGUAGUAGUGUGCCAAUGUUCAAUAAAUCUUCUUUUCCGAUUACAGAUUGUCGCAUCACUUAGAUUGUGCCUUUGUUUCAGACUACUGUCAUGUGGUUAAGCGUAAUAUUUGCAUUUCCUAUACUUCGAUGCAACGAGCGUGAACAUUAAGACAAUAUGGUUAGUAACUUAUGAUUCUGCACCACAUAUCAGACUCUAGGUAUAUGUUACGAACCAAAUCCAAACCAUAUGCAUACUCCAACAAAAAUGAUAUAUCCUACAUCCACAUCCCACUCUUAUCCUACUAUGUUACAUGGCAUUACUCAUCAACCUCUGAAUAUGUUAUUUGACAAAAAAAAAAAAAAUGAUCUAAUGGUUGACAAAUGAUGUCACGUCAGCACAGUGUGAUGAGAGUGGAAUAAGAAUGUAAUAUAUAACACUACUACAAAAGGAGUAGUCGAGGUUGCAAUUGGAGCCUUUUGGAUUCAUCCUCCUAGGCACUAUUGGAUCUCUUUCACCACUCUUUCCCUCCUAUACUCAAUAUGGCAUGCUGCAAUCUCCUCACCUUAAAUAUCCAACAUUCUUAUCAUGUCAUUUAGUUAUGGGCAGCACAGCUCAACACUUCUAGAUGGGAAUUGGCUUUGAUAUCAUCUGUAAUGGCCCAAAAAAAGUCGAAGUCACAUUUGAGCUUGUACUCUAAAAUGACUAAUCAAGGUCACAAUUAAAACUUCUUGAAAUCAUUAUAAACUACAGUAACUUCUCUCUCCCGAGCAACGUGAGAUUUCAUUCACCUCAAUUUCCCUCCUAUACUUAAUCCUGGGUAUUACAUUAGGGAUACAAAAAGGCAGGUUCUUACUCAUUUUCCAUAAUUUUAUUUCGGCAUGCAAGAUGUGUUGGCUCCACAUAUAUCCUUGUUCCUACAAGUAGGUAUUCUGUUUUCAUCGUCAGCUUGAAAUUCAGGUGAUUUGGUAGGAUUAAACUCUAGAUAGGUUUAGGAAUAAACGAUAGUCUUGUUUUCAGAGGGGAGAAGGUCUAGAAAUUGCAAGGAAGUUAUUGCAUUAGCAAAACUUGUGUGAUGACAAGAGGUAGUAGUUAUCAACAUACAAUGCAAAUGGUAGUUGAAGAUUGUUCACAAUGUUUGGUGUGUGUAGGUGUGUGACAACAAGAGGCAACUACCCUAUCAACAUACAAUGCAUGGUUUUAAUGUGUUUUGAUAUUAAAUUGUUGUAACUUGAGUGUUUCUACCCGCAUGGUAUUUCAGCCUUAACUCGUAAGUGGUUGAAGAGAAUUUAUUGUUCGCAAUGGCUUCUAACUUGUGUGCUUCUGUGCACAUGUUGUAUUUUUGUGUGUGCAUGUGUACGUUGCUUCAUUAUAUAUAUAUAUAUAUAUAUAUAUAUAUAUAUAUAUAUAUUAUUGGCAUUGGGUGUCCGGGAAUAGCAUUCUAACUAAUCCCGAGGUUGGACAGGCUCUCGGCAAGGAGUUUUCUGCAAGUGCACCUCUGGUAAUUCAAGGGAAAAAUCUCCCAGUCCGAUAGCCCUUAAAGAUUGUUUGCAUUCACAGGGAUUUGAACCUUAGACCUUGGGGAGCUUCAACCUUUCAGUUUUGCAUCAAACUUGUUGGAGAUUGUAUAAAUCAUAACCAUAACUUUUGCAGUUUGAUCUGAGAAUGGCAUUUGUCUAUCCUUCCUAGCCAACUGCAAAAUUUGUAACUUUUACUGGGACCUCCUCUUUUUCACUUAUAGUACUGAUGCAUAUUUUUAAUUUGGACAAAA